GGUUAAGUUAGAAAGGGCGCACGGUGGAUGCCUUGGCACUAGGAGCCGAAGAAGGACGGGACUAACACCGAUAUGCUUUGGGGAGCUGUACGUAAGCGUUGAUCCAGAGAUUUCCGAAUGGGGGAACCCACUAUCUUUAGUCGGAUAGUAUCCUUACGUGAAUACAUAGCGUGAGGAAGGCAGACCCAGGGAACUGAAACAUCUAAGUACCUGGAGGAAGAGAAAGAAAAAUCGAUUUCCUGAGUAGCGGCGAGCGAAACGGAAAGAGCCCAAACCAAGAAGCUUGCUUCUUGGGGUUGUAGGACACUCUAUACGGAGUUACAAAAGAAAGUUAUAAAUGAAGCGGUCUGGAAAGGCCCGCCAAAGACGGUAACAGCCCGGUAGUUGAAAUAGCUUUCCCUCCAGAGUGGAUCCUGAGUACGGCGGAACACGUGAAAUUCCGUCGGAAUC
rnacentral:rRNA from 1 species